rnacentral:misc_RNA from 1 species
AGUCUAGUAUGGCCACUCAUCCAAAUUAAAAACCUUUUUCAACAAAAAUUAAAAGCUAGUUCAUUUAAAAUAAACAGUUCCUGCACCUAGCAGGAUCACAAGCUGACAAAAUAAAAGAAAUUAAAAAGAAGUGUAUACUAAGCGUUAUAAUAACUUACACAUCACUUCAGCCUAAUUCAUGUUAUAUUAAAAAACGAGGAAAAACAUAUAAUUAUAUAACAAGUUAUUACUAUUUACUAUUUGAUGUGGGGCAUGUUUUUUAAACCAGAAAAACACAUGCCCACCUCGAGUACCAGGCCCUGCCACACACCCAGGUAGGUUGGUGUCCUGUCCAGCAGAGUGCAGUUACUGUUUUUUUUUUUUUUUUUU